UGGGGCGGGCCGGGCCGGGCCGGGCCCCGCUCUCGCCCGUGGCUGGUUCGAGCCCGGCCUCGGGGCCGCCCGGAGCCCGGUCACGCAGCGCCUGCCCCGGGAGGGUCGGUGCUGCCCGGCGGGGCCAAGGUCCCCUCCGAGCGGCUCUGCCUCCGGGGCCGGUGUGUGCUGCCCCCGCAGGGCCCGGGGUGGUGGGGAGGAGGAGGAGGAGAAAGAGGGAGGGAUGAAGGAAGGGGUGAAGGAGGCUGCCCCAUCUCCAUCUACUGCAUUUUCUUCUCUGGAGGGUUUUAUUGCUGCCUGGGCGCGGUGCUGGCCAGUCAACACUCUUCGUGCUCACUUCAUUGCCUCGUAAUAACCAUUUUCUCUUGUUUCUUUACACACUUUGCAGGUCGAUGAGUGGCAGAAGGUGACGUUCUCCAGAGUUUCUGGAGCUCUCGGACAAGCCCCCUGGAAGCUUUCCCUCCAGUCUGCUCUGCUUCCCGUCCCUGCACGCUCCUCGCUUUUUGCCUGUUCCUCUCAAUAGUUAACUCGUUCAGUUAUACACUUUUUAAGUAAGAUAUUAGCAGCGCUGUUUUGCUGAACUCGCAGCUAGAAGCAGCCAGCCCCCCUCAAAAACCUGGUGGUUUUCAGAGAAGCUCACUAAGAAUUAAUUUUUCAAGAUAGCUUAAAUAAUUCGCUGUCCUCGUAUGACAAAUGCUGCAAUGCUCCACUGCUAAACUACCUUUUUUUUUUUUUUUAACUUUAGUGAUUACUGCAUCCAUCAUUUCCACUAAAAAUAAAGCCAGCAGUUCUCUUUGGUAAGAGCACACCCCUUGUGCUGAGAAAAGGAGGUGGUGUCUGCUCAGAGAUGGAAUUUCUCUGGAAUUCUCACUGGGAUGCUUCCCCAUUCACUUCCCUUCAGCUCCCUGCAUUGAAGAGGAGGAGCUCGGAGAGACAAAAAGCUUUGCCUUUGCUCCCCUCUGCUGCAGCCCCGACCCUGCAGGACGGGGUCCUUUGUUAGUCCCCAGUGUGGCUUCUCCCCUGCCGCUCACCCCGAGGGCUGCUGUCUGGCCAGUUAACUCUGCAGGCUUUAGCGCUCUCUUUAUCAUUAGCUCCACUGAAUCUCCUGUGUAAUGUGAGUUUCCUCCGUUGCUAUGAAGGAAAAAAAGCGCUAUUUAUAUGAGGUUUGUAGAAACCUGCUCUGGAAUUGGUGGUAAGACCAAUGGCGGUGCAGCUGAAGGAGUUUUCAGCCUUUUUUUGGAGCAUAUAUAACUUUUGCAAUAGUAGUGAAAUCCCAUACGUGCUCAUAAAGUCCAGUGUAUUUUCCUGCCUCCUUUUCAGCACCUUUGUGAUGCUGGCCUUGAUGUAUGUCUCACUUAACACCAUCCCUGCCUUCAGUUCUUUCACACCGCUCUCAGGCCUCGGCCAGUUUCAUCCCAGCUCUCAAAGAAAUCCUCCUCCUGGACCCGCGGCACAGAGGUCUUCAAAGAGGGAGGGGGAAGAAGUGGUGAGCCCUUCUCGGUGAAGUUGCAUCAUUUCUAGAAAUAGAACUUAAGGUCCUUUGGGAAA